UGCAGUCUGAGGAUCUGCAUGUUGUCCUGCUUUCUGAACCACCAGCAGCAAACUGGUUGUAGCAGCUCAGAGCUGUGUGCAGAGGAGGGAAUGAAGAGGAUCCAGUGAUGUGAUCCACAAAAAAAUGCACCCUCAUGCUGCUGCUGAGCCGCUUUGGUCGCCGCGCCAUGCUGAGCACGCCCAGACGCAGGGGUCGACCCUGAGCCGCCUUGAUCAUGGCCGCUGCCGUUUCGUGAUGCUUCACUGGGAUGCCGUUGACCUCCAUGACGUAGUCCCCCACCUUCAGGCCGCUGCGACCCGCCGGACCAUGGGGCACACAGUCCUCCACCAUCAGAGGGCUGUCUCCAACGAUGAUGAAUCCAAAACGUCCAUCAGGGCCUGGGGUGAUGUCGAUCUAAAGAAGGACAAAAAAUAAAAUAAUUGACUGUUA